rnacentral:rRNA from 1 species
UACGUAGGGGGCAAGCGUUGUCCGGAAUCAUUGGGCGUCAAGCGCGUGUAGGCGGCUCGAUAAGUCUGCUGUGAAAGUCCAAGGCUCAACCUUGGGAUGCCGGUGGAUACUGUCGAGCUCGAGUCCGGAAGAGGAGUGUGGAAUUCCUGGUGUAGCGGUGAAAUGCGCAGAUAUCAGGAGGAACACCAAUGGCGAAGGCAGCACUCUGGGACGUGACUGACGCUGAGACGCGAAAGCGUGGGGAGCAAACAGG